CAGGAUUAGAUACCCUGGUAGUCCUACCGUUAAACGAUGGGCACUAGGUGUUUGUCGGUAUCGACCCCGCCAGUGCCGCAGCAAACGCAUUAAGUGCACCGCCUGGGGAGUAACGGUCGCAAGAUUGAAACUCAAAGGAAUUGACGGGGGCCCGCACAAGCGGUGGAGUAUGUGGUUCAAUUCGACGCAAACGCGCAGAACCUUACCUGGGCUUGACAUAUGCUGGAAAGCCACAGAGAUGUGGUCCCUCCUUCGGGAGUCAGUAUACAGGUGCUGCAUGGCUGUCGUCAGCUCGUGUCGUGAGAUGUUGGGUUAAGUCCCGCAACGAGCGCAACCCUCGUCCUUAGUUGCCAUCAGGUUAUGCUGGGGACUCUAAGGAGACUGCCGGUGACAAGCCGGAGGAAGGUGGGGAUGACGUCAAGUCCUCAUGGCCCUUACGCCCAGGGCUACACACGUACUACAAUGGCCGGUAUAGACGGCAGCAAUACCGCAAGGUGGAGCUAAUCCCUAAAACCGGCCUCAGUUCAGAUUGGAGUCUGCAACUCGACUCCAUGAAGGUGGAAUCGCUAGUAAUCGCAGAUCAGCAUGCUGCGGUGAUACGUUCCCGGGCCUGUACACACCGCCCGUCAAGCCAUGGGAGUGGGGGUACCCGAAGUCGC
rnacentral:rRNA from 1 species